UUUCUGACGUUAGGUCAAGGGCGGUGUUCCUGUGUUCUUAGGGCCCCAGGAGGCGAGUCUGAGUGGAACCUGGCUGGGGUAGGCUGAAAGGUGAUUUCGACGCUCUUCUGAGGCCUCAGACGUGUGUGAUGACUGCCCUGUAGAAUCAGUGCUGUGACCCCGAGUAACAACGCGCGCUUGAGUUGGUAUAAACUCCUGAAGGCUUUCCAGCUCACUACCCAAAAGACUUGAGUACUUCUAUUAAGGCAGCUGGAAGCCCACCCUAGACUUCAAUGGCAACUUGUCCUUUCUCUGCCAGUAAGGCAAUCCAACACAAUAUGCUACAGGAAAAACAGAAUUUCCACGGUGCUGCCCUCUGGUACAAGGGAAACAGCACUCAGAGCAAAAGGCCACAGAGGACUCCCUGAGAAUCCAGUACAACUAAGCGAGGCCUUAAACUGUCGAGACAAACUUUGCAACUGGAUCCCGGUGGGACAGUGCCCUGCGGCGAGGAGUA
rnacentral:sRNA from 1 species